UUCCAAUUAUUACUCCCAUAUACAGGAAUUUCCUAGUGGGAAAAUAACUAUAAGGUCACGUAACUUAUCAGUCCAUUUACAAUCAUUUCGUUGACUCAAGGUCAUUUCCGAUGACCUAACAUCGACUGUUCACGUCAACCCCUCAUGAUUAAAGAUUUAGUUGCUUUUUAAAUUAAAUUUAGUGCAGGAAAAAAUCUAGACCAAGUAUACUGGGACAAAAAUGUAGGUCAGCCUAAUAUUAGUCCAGCGUUUAAAGACAAAAUAUUCCAGAUAAUUGUGGAAAGAAAAAAGUCAAUAUGGCGGCGUGUGAUUUGUUUAAAAACACAAACCACUAAGGGAACUUUAUUUUAUUUUUUUUUUAAAUAGGGGGAAUACUAAAUUAUCCAAAUUAUAGUAUGGGGGCUUCGGCUCGCUAGACUUUUUAGGAUAAGUAUUUUCUAUUAUCUUUUCAAUUAUUCAAAAUAGUUUCGGUCAGAAAGUUCGUGCUUAUUGUGUGUCCAUUUGGUUUAACUCUGAGCUAUGCGCUUUUUUUUUAAAGUUCUGCUCAUUGAAAUGUAGAAGCAGUAGAUCUAAGAAUUAAAAUAAUUACUCAUUCCUUGAACAAUCUACUGAAGUCUGUUUCUAAUAUAUUUAAAAAAAUUUAUGUCAUUAUCGGCAUAUAUAUAUAUAUAUAUAUAUAUAUAUAUAUAUAUAUAUAUAUAUAUAUAUAUAUAGGCCUAUAUAUAUAAUGUAAAAUUUCCUCGCACAAAUAAUUUUCGGUCUUUUUUUUUUUCGUCUAUAUUUAUAAUUUUUUAACAUUUUUGUCUCAGCUCUGGGAUGGCGGGCCGGUCUAGCAGUAUGCGUUUGGGACUUUCAUCACAAUAGUCUCUGGCAGUACUGGAUCUAACACUGCUAGCCACCAUCGGCACCAUCCCUUACUGUUCUGUGGAAAGUUAUGACAUGGAGGUAAAAUACUUAUUGAAAAAUUGUCAGAAAGUUAGACUACAAAACAGAGUUCACAAGUAAGAGUUAACAGAAGCAGUCAGUUUGGACUUGAAUGUUUGAACACGUCUAAAGAGAUACUCUUUAUCUCUGAUAUAGAAUACUAGAUCUCGUUGUUUGACAGUCUGCAUUACAGUAGUGACGAGGUCUGUGAAACACGAGUGACUAGACUUAUCUGGAGUGUUUCCGACUUACUAUGUGAACCCUGUCUAAAAAAAACAUUCCAUUAGUUCGUGUGUCACUGGUGCCUCCAGAGUCAAUGACCUUUAAUCUGAUGAUGUAAUAUUUGGCCGAUUCAGUUCUUGAAGUUACCCACCAGACGUCUUUCUCUGUUGUCUUCUUGCUGGAACAAUGCACCAAAGCAGAGUUUUGGAAAAGUCUUUUAUUCAAGCACUGCUUCAUGUGUAUGAAUUGUUGAAAAAGGAAUUUUACAUUUUGAAAACAUCUCUAAAGCUUCAAAUCCCUACAAAGACACCAUGGCAUACGUUUUGUGCUAAAAUGAAUUCAUACUCUAGACAUCAUUGUUCGUCUGUGGUUUGCAUAAAUGUUUAUGAAAAGAUAAACCAUAUUGUUCUCUUGCGUAAAAAGAACCAACAAGAGAAUAAAUUAAUAUUAAUAUUAAAAUGUAAAAUUGUCUAA